rnacentral:rRNA from 1 species
GGGAAUAUUGGACAAUGGGCGAAAGCCUAAUCCAGCAAUGCCGCGUGUGUGAAGAAGGUCUUCGGAUUGUAAAGCACUUUCGACGGGGACGAUGAUGACGGUACCCGUAGAAGAAGCCCCGGCUAACUUCGUGCCAG